rnacentral:rRNA from 1 species
UACGAAGGACCCGAGCGUUAUCCGGAUUCAUUGGGUUUAAAGGGUGCGUAGGCGGGCCUGUAAGUCAGUGGUGAAAGCCCUUCGCUUAACGGAGGAAUGGCCAUUGAUACUGCAGGUCUUGAGUACAGUUGAGGUGGGCGGAAUGUGUCAUGUAGCGGUGAAAUGCUUAGAUAUGACACAGAACACCGAUUGCGAAGGCAGCUCGCUAAACUGUAACUGACGCUGAGGCACGAAAGCGUGGGUAGCAAACAGG